rnacentral:lncRNA from 1 species
GGGAGGUGGAGGGAAUAGCAGCAGAGAGACAGACGGGGAGCCACUGCGUGUGUGAUCCUGGCUGACGUGGAUUGCCUGGGAGGAAGGCAUGUGGCUGGAACCAGGGAGAUCACUCCAGAGCCUGUGCACCAAAGGUGCUGCGAGGUUUGAGGAAGGAGAGAGGGACAAUGAUCGGGAAGAAGCAACGAGGAACUUGGGAGAGCCCGACCCCAUCUCCAGCCUUUUGGGACAGGGAGCCUGGAAGGAAAAAGCAGCCUCCUUGAAGGGUUGAAAGGAAGCUGUGUCCUCACUCAGGGAAGAGUCAGGACAAGCUCCAUGGAGGAUGUGGGCAAAACACCAUCUUUUUCUUUUCUUUUGAGACAGUUUCCUUUUGUCUCCCAGGCUGGUGCGUGCAGUGGCACCAUCUCGGCUCACUGCAAC